rnacentral:rRNA from 1 species
UGGGGAAUUUUGGACAAUGGCGAAGCCUGAUCCAGCCAUGCCGCGUGCAGGAUGAAGGCCUUCGGGUUGUAAACUGCUUUUGUACGGAACGAAAAGACUCUGGUUAAUACCUGGGGUCCAUGACGGUACCGUAAGAAUAAGCACCGGCUAACUACGUGCCAGCAGCCGCGGUAAUACGUAGGGUGCAAGCGUUAAUCGGAAUUACUGGGCGUAAAGCGUGCGCAGGCGGUUAUAUAAGACAGAUGUGAAAUCCCCGGGCUCAACCUGGGAACUGCAUUUUGUGACUGUAUAGCUAGAGUACGGCAGAGGGGGGAUGGAAUUCCGCGUGUANCAGUGAAAUGCGUAGAUAUGCGGAGGAACACCGAUGGCGAGGCAAUCCCCUGGCCUNUACUGACGCUCAUGCACGAAAGCGUGGGGAGCAAACAGGAUUAGAUACCCUGGUAGUCC